GUGCCCGUAGCUCAACGGACAGAGCAUCCGGUUCCGAACCGGAAGGUCGGGGGUUCGAAUCCCCCCGGGCACA
rnacentral:tRNA from 1 species